rnacentral:rRNA from 1 species
GACAGAGGCCUCGAGCGUUAGGCGGAAUCACUGGGCUUAAAGCGUGUGUAGGCGGACCCCUAAGUACCUUGUGAAAUCCCACGGCUCACCCGUGGAACCGCUGGGUAUACUGGGGGUCUCGGGCCACUCAGGGGCGACUGGAACAAGCGGUGGAGCGGUGAAAUGCGUAGAUAUCGCUUGGAACGCCAAAGGUGAAAACAGGUCGCUGGGAGUGCGCCGACGCUGAGACACGAAAGCCAGGGGAGCAAACGGG